rnacentral:rRNA from 1 species
GAUCCUGGCUCAGGACGAACGCUGGCGGCGUGCUUAACACAUGCAAGUCGAACGAGAAUCUAUGGAAAGAGGAUUCGUCCAAUUGAAAUAGAGGACAGUGGCGGACGGGUGAGUAACGCGUGAGGAACCUGCCUUUCAGAGGGGGGCGAACAGUUGGAAACGACUGCUAAUACCGCAUAACGCGUAGAGGUCGCAUGGCCUUUACGCCAAAGAUUUAUCGCUGAAAGAUGGCCUCGCGU